rnacentral:rRNA from 1 species
GCGAGUCGAGCGGUAGAGAGAAGCUUGCUUCUCUUGAGAGCGGCGGACGGGUGAGUAAUGCCUAGGAAUCUGCCUGGUAGUGGGGGAUAACGCCCGGAAACGGACGCUAAUACCGCAUACGUCCUACGGGAGAAAGCAGGGGACCUUCGGGCCUUGCGCUAUCAGAUGAGCCUAGGUCGGAUUAGCUAGUUGGUGAGGUAAUGGCUCACCAAGGCGACGAUCCGUAACUGGUCUGAGAGGAUGAUCAGUCACACUGGAACUGAGACACGGUCCAGACUCCUACGGGAGGCAGCAGUGGGGAAUAUUGGACAAUGGGCGAAAGCCUGAUCCAGCCAUGCCGCGUGUGUGAAGAAGGUCUUCGGAUUGUAAAGCACUUUAAGUUGGGAGGAAGGGCAUUAACCUAAUACGUUAGUGUUUUGACGUUACCGACAGAAUAAGCACCGGCUAACUCUGUGCCAGCAGCCGCGGUAAUACAGAGGGUGCAAGCGUUAAUCGGAAUUACUGGGCGUAAAGCGCGCGUAGGUGGUUUGUUAAGUUGGAUGUGAAAGCCCCGGGCUCAACCUGUGAACUGCAUUCCAAACUGACAAGCUAGAGUAUGGUAGAGGGUGCUGGAAUUUCCUGUGUAGCGGUGAAAUGCGUAGAUAUACGAAGGAACACCAGUGGCGAAGGCGAUCUCCUGGACUGAUAUUGACACUGAGGCGCGCAACAGUGUGGGGAGCAAACAGGAGUAGAUACCCUGGUAGUCUACGCCGUAAACGA